UGUGAUGGAUGGACCAUUGCUUCAUAAACUGUCUCACAACAGAGGACAUGGCUGCUGUAUGUGUAGGUUUGGAGCACUUCAAUGUACAAAUUUAAAUGUACAUAUAUAAUUUUUUUGUCAUGUUACCUUAAAAGCAGAAUCAGACCUCGCACGCCGGGUUUGACCUCCCGCAGCAGCAUCCCAUGGCUUUCUCCCUGCCAGCUCACGCUUCCAUCAGAGGGGUGGAGGCGUAACCGGGGUCCAGGCUGAUAGACGUCCGUGUGGGGAGGCGUCAUACUGGGCCGCAUCAUGCACUUCCGAGGCUGCGCCGCUGUCGUACAGGGGAGAGCCAGCAGGGGGCCCCGUGGCUGAGUGGGACAGGCUGUGGUAGUGGCUGCCGGACCCCCGGAGGAACUGGAAACUCAGGCCGUUAUUCAAAUCUCCAUUCUGGGGCACGGGAGUCAGGGGCGAGUUAGUCACAGACCACAGGCCUGGAUACUGACUGCACACAGACAUAAACAGGAAACAGCUUACUCAGCUUCUGGAUAGGAUGUUUUUCAGACAAAGUGAGAAAAUGAAUGAAAGAAGAUUAGAUACACAUUGUUCAGCAGAGGUUGAUGAAUCAGGCUUAAUCAUUUUUCCAGGCAAACUGCAGUUAAAUGUUUUAUUUUGAAUCACUGCAUCACACACAAAAUUAGUACAGAAAUACUCUGUGACUUAAAGAACUGCUGGAGCCAUGUUCUACGUUACCGUCUCCUCUCUCCCAAUGCUGACUUCUCUGUAGGACAUGGACAUGUGUGUUGUUGCUUUAAUUUACACACCUGGAGGUGGCACCAGCGGUGGAGUUGUGAGACACUGCCAUUGUGCUGGAGUGCGUUGGCAUCUGCAGACCGGACCAGUUAUCGUGGGUUGAGAUCAUUGACAGACACGUUGAAGAGUUAUCAGAGUAGCUGGCUACAACACAAACAGAAGCGCUGAGGUUAAAGGUCGCACAGGACACGGGACUAAAACCUGAAUUCUGCGUUGCCAAAUGGGCUGUUCUCCCAAUUUUCACUUCACUAUGAGACUGUUAAAGGCUUGAAUCUUGUGUCCAUACAUUCCUUGUCCGAAGCCCAAACAUUUACAGCUUUGUGGCUCCGUUCACACAAAAGCCAGUGGAAUGUAAAGCAUUCUGCGCUCAGCAACAUUUGUUUGAGUUUCUUGUUAAUGGCUGAGGAGGAAGUGGUGUAAUCCUUGCAUGCAGACAGCGGAGGAGCGCACUCACAGGGGGAGCUGGUUCGAUGGGGGUACGGACUGGUGUAGGGAGAGGAGCGCUGGUUCCUCAGGGUGGAGUAGCGCUCGCAGCCGUGGGACUGGGACGUGGAGAUGGGACUGCCAAACUGGCUGUGAGGACUGGCAGCGGAGCAGAGGGAACCUGUGCUGGGAAUAAACCAGCCCCCUACUGGAGCCACGGAGGAGCAAAGACGUCAGCAGGACAAUAUAAGCAUGCAUAUAAAAUAUGCACAAGCAUAUGAAAAGAUACUGGGCAAUGUAUAAUUACACUGAGAGUAGGGUGAGUGUUGGUUUUCACUGACGUCCUCUCUCAGGUCUUUGGUGUCACUUCUGCAAAAAUACAUAAAUUGGUGCGAAAUACAUUGGUGAAUUAAAGUUCUCAUCUUAAGACAUUGCUUUAAUUAUUGUGAAAUAAAGUGGCACGUGCAUUCGUACCUC